CCUACGGGGAGCAGCAGUCGAGAAUCAUUCACAAUGGGGGAAACCCUGAUGGUGCGACGCCGCGUGGGGGAAUGAAGGUCUUCGGAUUGUAAACCCCUGUCAUGUGGGCGCAGAUUAAAAAGAUAGUACCACAAGAGGAAGAGACGGCUAACUCUAGGCCAGCAGCAGCGGUAAUACAGAGGUCUCAAGCGUUGUUCGGAAUCACUGGGCGUAAAGCGGGCGUAGGCUGUUUCGUAAGUCGGGUGUGAAAGGCGCGGGCUCAACCCGCGGACGGCCCAUGAUACUGCGAGCCUAGAGUAAUGGAGGGGGGACCGGAAUUCUCGGUGUAGCAGUGAAAUGCGUAGAGAUCGAGAGGAACACUCGUGGCGAAGGCGGGUUCCUGGACAUUAACUGACGCUGAGGCACGAAGGCCAGGGGAGCGAAAGGAAGUAGAUACCCCUGUAGUC
rnacentral:rRNA from 1 species